rnacentral:rRNA from 1 species
UCAAAAACAUAGCUUAAUGAAUAAAAGAUAUUAGGUAAUUUCUGCUCAAUGAAUAGUUUAAAUAGCCGCAGUACCUUGACUGUGCAAAGGUAGCAUAAUAAAUUGUCUUAUAAUUGAAGUCUAGAAUGAAUGAGAUUUCGGAUAAAAACUGUCUUAAUAUUAUUUGUUUCAAACUUAUUUAAUAAGUGAAAAUCCUUAUUUAAAUAUAAUAGACGAGAAGACCCUAUAAAUUUUUAUUAAAUAUUUUUAUAUAUUAAAAUUAUAAUUUUUGUUGGGGCGACAGGAUUACAUAAUUAACUAAUCAUAUAUAAACAAGAAGAUUAUAUAAUUUAUAAGUAUGAUUAAAUUACUUUAGGGAUAACAGCAUAAUUUAUUAUAAAGUUUGUGACCUCGAUGUUGGAUUAGGAAAAGUAGUUGUUAAAAACAAUUAUUAUAAGUUCUGUUCGAACUUUUAUACUCCUACAUGAUC